rnacentral:rRNA from 1 species
GAGGGGAGCGUCGGUCCGCCCUUGUGGUGUGUACUAGUGCGUCUCUCUUCAUCCUUGUGGAGAAGCUCGAUGGCCUUCACUGGUUCGUCGUUGUGGAUCCACAUCAUUUACUGUGAAAAAAUUAGAGUGUUUAAAGCAGGCGAUCGCUUGAAUACGUUAGCAUGGAAUAAUAAGAUAGGACUUCGGUGCUAUUUUGUUGGUUGCGUACCGAGGUA